GCGGCUCCGCACCCGGGACGGACGUGGGCAGGGCUCAGUAGAGACACUGCUGGGGCAUAGCAGCGUCUGUGCCUGCGGUUGACGCCAUGUCAGUGGUCACUAUGGCAACGCUGCCUGUGCAGCAUACUGAGGUGCGAGCCAUGACAGCGCCAGUGUAGACAGGAAUAUUCCCAAGGGUCCAGCAGAGACUGGAAGCAUGAGAGGGAAGACCAUGAGCCGUGCCCUGCCUGGACAGCUGCAGCUGGUACGGCCCAGGGCGGCAGGACAUUGCCUGGAAUAUAGCUACUGAGUGAGCGGGAGAGAGACUUACAGCAGAAGUGGUUGAAAGGAGUGAAAGGAUAUGAGUUUGCAAGGUGGAAUGACUACAGAAAGGACAGGUCAGGGAUGGGUUGCGUACAAGGCCUCAUUGCUAAAAGAACAGCACAAGCAUGUAGGGACAAAGGGUAAUUGGGCUGGAGUUAAACCUGCAGCAAGAAGGGACUCAUCUUCUGACACUACCAGAAAGCGAACCCUUCCAGGAAGUUUCUUCAUUAAGCUGUUUCCAUCAGAGAAGAUCUGCCGAAAGAGAAGGUUUCCUUCUCAGUUUGGCUAUUGAUGCUCAGUUUGGCAGCUCCCAGUGCUUUCAAUAUAGAAAUGUUACAUGAAUUGUGAUUCUGCAUCUCCCUGGCAUGCAGCUGCAGGAAUGAAGCAUGUUCCCUGUUGAACAUUGUCCCCAGCCCUUACCCAGCACAUCUUGCUUUAGCUCCUCAAUUCUCCCAGCAUUGAGUAAGUGAAAAGGCAGUUCGCUUAGCUUCCUCCGAUUUGCAACGGUAUCAGAGAACCAGAGUGGCUGAGGUGCUACCUGGUAAAGGGAGAAACAGGAGGUGAUCAAGGAGAACUCAGGCGAGAUACAGAACCAACUAAGGAGGAGGGAACUGGAUGCAGAGGAAAGAGAGAUUCCAUGUUUCAGAGGAGAAGCUGUGCACAGAAGAGGAGACUGGACUCCUUAAAGACCUCAGACCUAAGCAUGAAGAACACUCAAGAGUGGUGAGGAAAUGAGAUCCAUCAAAAAGAUUUGGCAACACCCUGCACCACCAUGUGGGAGUGACAUACAGGAACGAUGGCGGAGGGUGAUUUGAAAACUGCCCGUCAGAGAUGGGCCACAAAGCUCAUCUCCACGCUCUACUGGGAAGAGAGCAAUGACUGCACAAUUACCCUGCAGUCACUUCGUUAGCUUUAUCUAAACUCCAGCUUGGUAAUUUAUGGAGGGACAGGAAAUGGUACUUACUUGC